CCCGGGAUUUUCCAGGACAGCCUCCCUUGGGUGGGACCCGAUUCUUUUCAGUGAAGGUGAUCCGUUAAACGUCCAAAUGCAAUCGAAUGUUAUGGAGUUACGCGACAUUGUCGUGAAUUCACUCACUAAAGCCAAAUAAACAGUUGAUCAUGUCAGUACUUCUUGUCUUUCUUUUUUUGCUACGGAAAUCUCGUCGCUGCGGCCGGCCGUGGUCUCUUCCGACCGGUUAAGAGCUGGUUCCGAGGCUAAGACUUCAGGUCGGUGUGUGUCCGAAGCGGGGAACCCCGAGAGACGGCGAAGGGGAGAGUAGUCUUCAACUUCUUGACCUUCUUGACCUGCAGACGUUGACAUUUUUUUUUUACUGGCCGUGAUUCCAAGGGAUCGGCUCUCAAGGCUUUGCUGUAUUCCACGGACGCAGCGCCCCAUGCAGUGCCAGAGCGGUUCUGCAGGGGACACGCAUGUGGCUUGUUGUGGCAGCUUCUAGAGGCCACCCAUGUUCCUUGGCUCGUGCCCCUUCCUCCAUCAGGCACGUCCCUUGGACCUCUGCUUCCGUGGCGUGGCUCUCCUUCUCCGACCCUCCUGCCUCCCUCCCCUAUCUUUCAAGGCCUCUUGUGAGUACACUGGGUUCGCUGGAUGAUCUGGGAUCAUCUCCCUGCCUCCAGGUCACUGACUUCAUCAUAUCUGCAAAAUCCCUUUUGUCAUGUUAGGUUCCAGGGAUUAGGACCUGGUCAUCUUUGGAGACCAUGAGUCUGCCAAUCAUACCUCCAUAUGAGCUUAUACUGUUAUUUCCUCAGACCCCUCUUUUUUCACAUGACCUGCUGAUUUUUCUGUUACGAGAGUAGAAUUUCUAUUUGCCCCACCUGUUCCUCCCCCACCCCCCGUCCACCCCCCGCCAUCUACUCUCAGUAUUAAGACAGUGGAAUAAUUGUUUCCUGCAGAGCCAACUCAUUUACUGAGAUUUCAUUCCCUCUCCUGGAGAACAUUUUCUCCCUGGACUUCUAGUUGCCUUUAUCUCUGUCCUGCAGUUUACUCCCAUGUUUCUCCCAGGGCCUUUCCUCCUCCAAGAGCCCCUGGACCUCAGCUCUUUCAGGGGCAGGCUGUGCUCUGGGCACCUCACAGCAAGGUGCUUGGGUUUCAAGGGGGAGAGAGAGAGGGAGAGAUGGGGAAGGAAAGAUACGGAGAGAGAGGAGAGGUGUGUGUGGGGCACGGUGGAGAAAGGACAAACUCUAGAGCACUGAGGACACUGGCCGAGCCCCUAACCGCCUUUGUGGCCUGGCCCUGGGAGUGGGCAGUGCUGCUCCCGAUGCACUCUAGACAUCGAAUUCUAUUCACGAAGGCUCUGUGUUCCAAGGGGAGUUUCAAGGGGAGGCGAACAGAGACAUCACCUCCUGAAGGGAGUAUGGCAACACCCGGGAAGAACAUGUGAGGACAGAAAUAUUACAGUCACCAAUCUCGGAAAAUGCUAAUCUACGGUACAGCGUAACACAGUUGUGUCCCCAAAGAAGAAAUUUGUUCUCUGAUAGACUAGUGGUAGCUGAAUAAAAAAAAAUUACUUGUUUUA